rnacentral:rRNA from 1 species
CCUACGGGUGGCAGCAGUGGGGAAUAUUGCACAAUGGGGGGAACCCUGAUGCAGCGACGCCGCGUGGGUGAAGGAGUAUUUCGGUACGUAAAGCUCUAUCAGCAGGAAAGAAAAUGACGGUACCUGACUAAGAAGCCCCGGCUAACUACGUGCCAGCAGCCGCGGUAAUACGUAGGGGGCAAGCGUUAUCCGGAUUUACUGGGUGGAAAGGGAGCGUAGACGGCAGUGCAAGUCCGGAGUGAAAGCCCGGGGCUCAACCCUGGGACUGCCUUGGAAACUGUAAGGCUGGAGUGGAGGAGGGGCAGGCGGAAUUCCUAGUGUAGCGGGGAAAUGCGUAGAUAUCAGGAGGAACACCGGUGGCGAAGGCGGACAGCUGGACCGUAACUGACGUUGAGGCUCGAAAGCGUGGGGAGCAAACAGGAGUAGAUACCCUUGUAGUC